rnacentral:rRNA from 1 species
UGGAUUAGGCAUGCAAGUCGAACGAAUCCUAGCGGCUGUAGCAAUACAGUUGCUAGGGAAAGUGGCGAAAGGGGCAGUAAGGCAUGGGUAACCUACCCCGGGGACGGGGAUAGCCAUUCUAACGAGUGGGUAAUACCUGGCGAUUCGGCGAAGUCGCAUGGCUUUGCCGGGAAACGAGUUUCGCCUCGGGAGGGGCUCAUGUAGUAUUAGCUUGUUGGUGAGGUAACGGCUCACCAAGGCUGAGAUGCUUAGCGGGUGUGAGAGCACGACCCGCGCCACUGGCACUGAGACACUGGCCAGACUCCUACGGGAGGCUGCAGUCGAGGAUCUUCGGCAAUGAGCGCAAGCUUGACCGAGCGACGCCGCGUGCGCGAUGAAGGCCUUCGGGUUGUAAAGCGC